AAGGUUUUCCUUGAUUUAAAUCUUAAUAUGAAAGGUUAAAUUGAGUUUAUUGAACUCCCAAAAAGUCCAAGACUAGGCACCAAGAACAGCAGAUAUUGGCAAUCUCCUGACAACAAUGCAAUGGGCAUUUAUCGAAAUCAGGAUGAAAUGGGACCAGAGAGAAAGAAAGGUGCUUUCUUGGAGUUGGAACUGGCAGAGCGGGUAUCAGGACAGACUUCACGUAUGCAUGGAGAGAUAUGGAAUCUACAUACGACUGAAAACCUGGACAUAUAUGUCUCAAUUCUAUUUCUCCUUUUUAGGGGCUAGGGGUAGAAGUGACAAAAAGGGUGAUCUCCUCCACAGAAGACCCGCUUCUCUAUUUACACGAUGCACCAUUACCUCUGAAGUAGCCAUCACCGAUCCUGCAUUCUCAGUUAUCCAUAGAUCCAGACACAGAACUUUCCCUUUGUUACAGAAAAUUUUAUUGCAUAGCACCAAUCUGGAG
rnacentral:lncRNA from 1 species